rnacentral:rRNA from 1 species
AGAGUUUGAUCCUGGCUCAGAAUCAACGCUGGCGGCGUGCCUAACACAUGCAAGUCGCACGAGAAAGGGUAGCAAUACCUGAGUAAAGUGGCGCACGGGUGAGUAACACGUGAAUUAUCUACCUCCGAGUGGGGAAUAACUGAGAGAAAUCUUAGCUAAUACCGCAUAACACUUACGAGUCAAAGCAGCAAUGCGCUUGGAGAGGAGUUCGCGGCCGAUUAGUUAGUUGGCGGGGUAAUGGCCCACCAAGACGAUGAUCGGUAUCCGGCCUGAGAGGGCGCACGGACACACUGGAACUGAAACACGGUCCAGACUCCUACGGGAGGCAGCAGUGGGGAAUUUUGCGCAAUGGGGGAAACCCUGACGCAGCAACGCCGCGUGGAGGAUGAAAUAUCUUGGUAUGUAAACUCCUUUCGAUGGGGAAGAUUAUGACGGUACCCAUAGAAGAAGCCCCGGCUAACUUCGUGCCAGCAGCCGCGGUAAUACGAGGGGGGCAAGCGUUGUUCGGAUUUAUUGGGCGUAAAGGGUGCGUAGGCGGUUUGGCAAGUCUGAUGUGAAAUCUAUGGGCUCAACCCAUAGUCUGCAUCAGAAACUGCCGGGCUUGAGUAUGGGAGAGGUGAGUGGAAUUUCCGGUGUAGCGGUGAAAUGCGUAGAUAUCGGAAGGAACACCUGUGGCGAAAGCGGCUCACUGGACCAUAACUGACGCUGAUGCACGAAAGCUAGGGGAGCAAACAGGAUUAGAUACCCUAGUAGUCC